AGUUGAAAUUGAUGCAGUCGGAGCUGAAUGUUGAAGAAGUGGUAAACGACAGAAGCUGGAAGGUAUUUAACGAGCGCUGCCGAAUUCACUACAAGCCUCCGAAGAGUCAAUGAUGUGGGGUGUUUUCCAUCAAGCUGGUCCAUAACCGUGAGAGCCAAACUGGAAAGAGACCUUGGGUGAGCUGUGUUGGGACCCUCCAGAACCAGUAGAACCCAGUCUUUGUUUUGGACCUAUUUAGCUGAAAUCUCGAAGUUGAAAUGAUUCUCCUGUAAUUAAGAGAAAACGACUCAUCUUUUGUACAAAAUAUGUGAACAAAUGAGUUUUAUAGUAUUAAAAUAAUUUUCAA